UACGAAGGGGGCUAGCGUUGCUCGGAAUCACUGGGCGUAAAGGGUGCGUAGGCGGGUCUUUUAAGUCAGGGGUGAAAUCCUGGAGCUCAACUCCAGAACUGCCUUUGAUACUGAGGAUCUUGAGUUCGGGAGAGGUGAGUGGAACUGCGAGUGUAGAGGUGAAAUUCGUAGAUAUUCGCAAGAACACCAGUGGCGAAGGCGGCUCACUGGCCCGAUACUGACGCUGGACGGCACGAAAGCGUGGGGAGCAAACAGGG
rnacentral:rRNA from 1 species